CUCCAUUUAACUAUCAGUUGUGAUUCCAAAAUAUAACUGAGGUUACCAUGUGAGACCCCCCCAGCUUUGACUCCAACCCGCAAUGUCUUAACCCAUGUUCACCCGGCACCCUCCUAAUGACAUCUAUACAUUUUUGCAUCUAAUUUACUCAUCGCCCUUUGUUUCUGUGUUGACAUGAGGCCUGGGCACUUCUGAUCUGGACAUAAAUUGUCAUUUUGCCAUUUUCUAUCAGAAAUCCAAUCUCACCAAGCAUAUUACGAUUUUCUGAUUUCACGAAUGUUCAUGGGGGCCGCAUUUCUUUUGGGAAGACCCUCCCACUACGCAUAGCCCUGGGGUGCGUUUCCAGUAUCCCACUCCAGAGGUUUCUCUCCUAGGGAGCAGUGGUUGCUCGCCCAUCUGUUCUCUCCAGCUUCCACAGAAACUCUAGUGGAUAUAAAUGACCUUCAAAUACCCUGAUGAUGAUUCUCACUUCCUCCCACAUCCAGCUCCCCCUCAUACCACAGACCUCCUGUGUCCCUUCCUCUAAACUCUUAGAACUCUUUCUCCCAAAUCCAAGUAAGGAUGUGCUUCUCUUCACUCUGCAUGUCUCUGGACCUGAGGGGAAGGAACUGAAGAGGCAAAACUCUUUAGCGGUUUAAGAUGACUUAUUGUUGGCUGAGGUCAUAACUUUACAACAGAACAGAAAGGCAAGUAGCAGCAAAAUCGUGGCACAAACGCCAGCCAAGAGCUUGGAGGCUCUUGACGGAAGAAGUCAGAUGAAUUCAGAAGCUUAAAGUAAGAAUGGAAUUUCCCACGGAAACAGCAACAACUGUAGUAUGUCGGGUACCGCUAAGCAACUUUAACGAAAGACCCAAUAAGAUUGCCAGAAGGUGGACUUUAUAUCUCUCACACAGAAAAGUCUGGCUCUGCCCCAACUUGUCAUUCGAAGACCAGGUUCCUUUCAUCCCCUAGACAGACAUUACCAUCAUGUUCAUGGUCAAGGUGCAGUUGUAAUGGGUUUCUGUCAGUGGAAAGUGGAAAACAGUGUAGGGGAGGUAAGGUGUAGCCCCUCAAUUCUGUUCCCAUUCCCUUGGCAGGGAUUUAAUGACAUGGCCACAUUCCUUUGCAAAGGCUGGGAAAUUUACUGUUACCGGGCAGGGAUAGGUUCACCUUCAAUCCUA
rnacentral:lncRNA from 1 species